GUAAGGAAUAUUGGACAAUGGACGCAAGUCUGAUCCAGCCAUGCCGCGUGAAGGAUUAAGGUCCUCUGGAUUGUAAACUUCUUUUAUAAGGGACGAAAAAAGGCCUUUCUAAGUCGUCUGACGGUACCUUAUGAAUAAGCACCGGCUAACUCCGUGCCAGCAGCCGCGGUAAUACGGAGGGUGCAAGCGUUAUCCGGAUUCACUGGGUUUAAAGGGUGCGUAGGCGGGCAGGUAAGUCAGUGGUGAAAUCCUAGAGCUUAACUCUAGAACUGCCAAUGAUAAUAUCUGUCUUGAAUAUUGUGGAGGUAAGCGGAAUAUGUCAUGUAGCGGUGAAAUGCUUAGAUAUGACAUAGAACACCUAUUGCGAAGGCAGCUUACUACGCAUAUAUUGACGCUGAGGCACGAAAGCGUGGGGAUCAAACAGGAUUAGAUACCCUGGUAGUCC
rnacentral:rRNA from 1 species